rnacentral:rRNA from 1 species
AGAGUUUGAUCAUGGCUCAGAGCGAACGCUGGCGGCAGGCCUAACACAUGCAAGUCGAACGCUUGUAGCAAUACAAGAGUGGCAGACGGGUGAAAAACGCGUGGGAACGUGCCCUUCGGUUCGGAAUAACUCAGGGAAACUUGAGCUAAUACCGGAUACGUCCGUAAGGAGAAAGAUUUAUUGCCGAAGGAUCGGCCCGC